UACGGGGGGGGCAAGCGUUGUUCGGAAUUACUGGGCGUAAAGGGCUCGUAGGCGGCCAACUAAGUCGGACGUGAAAUCCCUCGGCUCAACCGAGGAACUGCGCCCUAAACUACUGUGCUCGAGGGAGGUAGAGGUGAGCGGAACUUAGGGUGGAGCGGUGAAAUGCGUUGAUAUCCUAAGGAACACCGGUGGCGAAAGCGGCUCACUGGACCUCUUCUGACGCUGAGGCACGAAAGCUAGGGUAGCGAACGGG
rnacentral:rRNA from 1 species